UACGGGGGGGGCAAGCGUUGUUCGGAAUUACUGGGCGUAAAGGGCUCGUAGGCGGCCAACUAAGUCAGACGUGAAAUCCCUCGGCUUAACCGGGGAACUGCGUCUGAUACUGGAUGGCUUGAGUGUGGGAGAGGGAUGCGGAAUUCCAGGUGUAGCGGUGAAAUGCGUAGAUAUCUGGAGGAACACCGGUGGCGAAGGCGGCCCACUGGAUCGGUACUGACGCUGAGGUGCGAAAGCGUGGGGAGCAAACAGG
rnacentral:rRNA from 1 species